rnacentral:rRNA from 1 species
AUUGAACGCUGGCGGCAGGCCUAACACAUGCAAGUCGAACGAGUGGCGGACGGGUGAGUAAUGUCUGUGAAACUGCCUGAUGGAGGGGGAUAACUACUGGAAACGGUAGCUAAUACAGCAUACCAUCGGAUGUGCCCAGAUGGGAUUAGCUAGUAGGUGGGGUAACGGCUCACCUAGGCGACGAUCCCUAGCUGGUCUGAGAGGAUGACCAGCCACACUAGAACUGAGACGCGGUCCAGACUCCUACGGGAGGCAGCAGGGGGGAAUAUGGCACAAUGGGAGCAAGCCUGAUGCAGCCAUGCCGCGUGGAUGAAGAAGGCCGUCGGGUUGUAAAGUACUUUAAGCGGGGAGGCGUUACCCGCAGAAGAAGCACCGGCUAACUCCGUGCCAGCAGCCGCGGUAAUAC